GACGUAGGGUCCAAGCGUUGUCCGGAUUUACUGGGCGUAAAGAGCGCGUAGGCGGUCUGUUAAGUGUAGAGUGAAAUCUCCAGGGCUCAACCCGGAAACUGCUCUGCAUACUGGGCAGACUUGAGGGAUGCAGAGGUUUGUGGAAUUCCUGGUGUAACGGUGAAAUGUGGUUGAUAUCGAGGAGGAACACCGAUGGCGAAGGCAGGUCCUCUGGGCUGACG
rnacentral:rRNA from 1 species